rnacentral:lncRNA from 1 species
UAAAGUUCUUAGUGUUAAAAUUUUCAUCGGGAUUCAGUUAACAUACAAUAGAUAUUAAAACCUGAUUGAUCAAAACAACAGAACUGUAUUAUAAAUUUUAGUGAGUACUUAUUAAACAUAAGAAAUAAAAUUUUAUUGAAUAGUCCUUUCUUACUGAAACUUAACAGGACUGUUUUUACAGUUGGUUUGUAUAUUUAUGGAUAAAUAUCACUUAUUGCUAGAAUAAGAGGAUUCAACAUCAAUUCUAUUUCUCAGUUUUGUUUUUAUAAAUAUAAGCAUUAAGAAACUUGGUUUACAUAAAUAAUUAGAAGGAAAUUAGAUGGAAAACAUUUUGCUUUCUCAAUGCCACUUAAUCAUUUGAGUGCCUUCUAAGUUAUAUUCAGAAAAUCACAUAGUGAUCCAUGUUAAAGUAAUUUUUAAUGAUCUUUGAAAAAAAUAUUUGGCCCUCUUUUAAUUUUCCUGAAGCAAAUCAUUAAACACCAUAAUGCUUGGGAAACACCAUAAUGCUUGGGAAAAGAUUUUUUUAAAAUCCUGUCAUUAAAGUCAUUUACUUUUGAAAUAUUUUAUUUUUAAUUGCCCCAUUUUUCCAGCCCUAGACUUUUUUAUACCCACAGUAAGUUCAGGCUGAGUGAGUGGCAUGUUCAUAAGAGAAGCACGACUGUGACAGGGGAAUGGGAAAUGGAGAACCAGCGUAAUGUCUCCAUUGCAGGUAAAUUUCAUACGGAAAUUAGGUAUCUGGAAAAAGAUUCCCUUAAAACUGAUUCUUUAUACCCUUAUAUCCUUAAAAGGCCUCAUGUACCUCAGGAGGCCUGUGUAUCUCAGUUUGAGGGCCAAUAUUCUCGUAGAGACAAAAAUGUAUAAAAAUAUAUACAAUGUGAUACUUCUUGAUACUAAAAAAAAAAUGCUAUAAAAGGAAGCAUAUGGUAAAAACCUGGAGGGAGAGUGCUAUGUGAGAUAAGGCAAUGAGAGAGGCCCCUGUGAGAGGGGCUGCCUAACCUGAGCCUGAAGGAUGAGCAUAGUUGUUUUGCAGAGCUGGUCAGGCAUGUUGUAAGUGGGAGGAACAGCAUGUGCAAAGGUCCUGUUGGAAAUAAGCUUGGCAUGUUUGAGUGGCAGAAAGAGGAUCUGUGGGGCUGGAGCAUGAUGACCAAGGGGAAGAGUGGAAGAAAGUGAGGUCCAGAAAUGGGCAAGGCCAUAUUUAUGAGGCCCUGAGGGAGCUGCACAUUAUUUUCAGCAUGAUUCAAAGCCAUCUGAGGUUUUAAGCAGGAGAAUGACAAGAGCUGAGUUUUGCUUUAGAAAUAUCUUUCUGGGUGCUGUGAGGUAGGGGCAGUGGAUGAUAGGGAAGUAAAAAUAAGCUAGCAAGUUGCAAGAUAGCUAUAGACUACUGCUGUCAUCCACGAGGGAAGUGACUGCAGCUUAGAACAGGGGACAACACUGAGGCUGAUAAGAAGAACUCAAUUUAGGAAAGCAUUUGGAGAAAAAGCCAACGAGAAUUGCUGAUGGGUUGCAUAUGCAGUGUGAAGAAAGAAAAAUAAUCUACCUGUAGAAUAAAUUCUAGAGGUGGAAUUGCUUAAUCAUGUCUAUGACAUAUUUUAAAAAAAAAACAUAAACUGAAGUGCUGGGCAGAUAUUUUGGACGACACACUAAGUGAUCAAGAACUCCAGUCUGAAAAUCUACCUGGAUAAGCAGUGAUAUGGACCCUACUCAUGGGCCAUUUUUCCAUAUCACCAUACAUGCCCCAGGCACUGAAAACUGCCAAAUAAACCUUCUUAAAAUGAGGUCCAUUUUCAAGGAACAACUCUUAUUGACACAGUUCUGAUCAGUCCAAAGUGUGCAACUAUCUAGUCUUAAGUAUGUUUUAUUUAAAUAAUGCCAGUAGGGAGUUGUGAAGCUAAAAUUAAUGUUUUGAAACUAUCCAUAAUUUUUUUAAAUGAAUUUUUUAUUAACCUUGCAAGAGACGUGAUCUAAAUUUUUAUCCUUUUCUUGCUAUAGAACAUAUUAUAAAAUUGUUGUAACACAAAAAGGCAAUCAAAGAGCAAGCAGCCAAAGGGUAGGAAAGAAGUAUUAUAGGUAUUAUAGAGAGUUGUCAGGCAGGUAAUUAAUAAAAUUUAAUUUUAUCUUGCUUGACUUUGUGAUUAUUGUGGUAUUUUUCAGUAAUUAAAAAUUUGUAAUUCAUUGUAGUUUCCUUUUCUCAGACUAAACAAAUACUUUCAUACUAAAUAUGUAUUUAAAUUUUGUAUUUUUUAUGUGAAAGAGGGCUCCCCAAAUUGUUUAAGCUUCAGGACCAUAAAACCUGGACCUGCUCCUGGCAAGUGUCAUCACUUAAUAACAUAGGAAAGACUUGACAUGGAGCAAAUGAUUGUUGUUGUUUGGGGAGAUGUAAUGUAGGGGGCAAUUAAUAGGGCUUUUUUGGCUUGGUUAAGCUAGAAAUGUCCAUUUACCAUCUUAAUGGAUGUAGGCAGUUGGAUAAAUGGGUCUGGAGCUCAAGAGUUCUGGGUUGGACAUGUAAGUUUUGGGUAUAAUUAGUGCAUAACUUUAAGAGACUGUGAAGAUUCCUAAGGUAAGAGUUUAUAGAGAAGGAAAAGAAGAGAAGAGGAUUCCUGACAAAGCUCUGAGGUCUUCAACAUUUAGAAAUUUAGUAUAAAAACAGAAUCAGCAAAGAGGGCCAAGCAGCAGCAGGCAAUGCCAUAGGAGGGAAACUAGGCAGGUGGUAGCCCAGAAACCUUGAUAAAGGAUUCCAUGGAAGAAGGGGAGUCAGUCAGGCCAAGCCCAGCUGGGAGGUUGUCUUAGUUCAUUUAAUGUUGCUAUAACAGAAUACCUGAAUCUGGGUAAUUUAUAAAGAAAGAAGUUUAUUUAGCUCAUGGUUCUGGUGGCUGGAAAGUCCAAGAUUGGGCAGCUGUAUCUGGUGAGGGGCUUAUGCUUCUAUAACUCAUGGCAGAAUGCAGAGCAGAAGAAAGCACAUGCAAACAAAGAGGCCAUGCAGGAGGAGUAAUCUCACUUUAUAACAACCUGCUAUUGCAGGAACUAAUCCAUUCCUAAGAGAGUGAGAACCUACCCACGACAUUAAUCUAUUCAUGAGGGAUUUGCUCCCAUGAGACAAACACCUCCCACUAGGCCCCAUCUCCCAAUACAACUGAACUGGCAGUUAAACUUCAACAUAAGUUUUAGUGAGGACAAACCACAUCCAAACCAUAGCAGAGGUCAAGAAAGUCAAAGGUGGGGUUGGUCAAAAGCCUCAGCCAUUGGUGACUCUGACAUGUGCCAUUUUCUUAGAGUGGUGGAUGAACAACUCUGGAGAGAAUUUAGGAUAGUCUUGGAGGUAAGGAAGCAAUGGACCGGGUGCAGUGGCUCCCACCUGUAAUCCCAGCACUUUGGGAAGCCGAGGUGGGCAGAUGACCUGAGGUCAGGAGUUCGAGACCACCCUGACCAACAUGGUGAAACUCCGUCUCUUCUAAAAAUACAAAAUUAGCCAGGCAUGGUGGUGCAUGCCUGUAAUCCCAGCUACUCAGGAGGCUGAGGCAGGGGAAUCGCUUGAACCUGGGAGGCAGAGAUUGCAGUGAGCCGAGGUCACGCCAUUGCACUCCAGCCUGGGUAACAGUGUAAGACUCUGUCUCAAAAAAAAAAAAAGAAGAAGAAGAAGAAAAGGAAAAGAAAAAGAGAAAGGAAGCAAUGACAGUGGAUAUAUUCAUCCUGCUUGAAAGUAUGGCUGCAAAGAAGAACAGAAAAGGGUGGUAGGAGCUGGAGGAGGUGUGGGUCCAAGGGGUGAAUUUGGUUUUGGUUUUUUAAUGAAUAAUAUUAAGCAUAUUUAUUUGCAAAUGGAAAUGAACCACUAGCAAGGAAAAACUGAUAUUGCAGGAAAGAAUGGGGAUAAUUGCAGAAUGAUCUAGAGUUUGAAUGGAAGCCUUUGCCUGAUCCAUUUUCUCUAUACAACAUGGAGAGAAUUUGGAAUCACAAAAUGACUAUUCUGACUAUCGGGGAUGGGGCACAGGAGAAGGAGUAAUAAAGAUUUGAGGUGAGAAAAGAAAUGUGAGGUAUUCUUGAAGGGAAACAUGACUUUGCUGUUUCUAUACUUUAUUACAAAAUUAUAAACUCUUUAGGGGAGGCCCUGUGUGUUAUACAUUUAUGGAAACCCCAUAGAGUCAGCAUAGCAUCUUGCAUACUCUAGGACUUCAAUGCGCUCCUGUUGAGUAGGUGGAUGGGUUGGAUGGAUGAGAAGUGCCUUGUAGGAAUCCAAAGGAAUAAAUUAAAAGACUUCAUCAAAUGGGGGAAAUUUCGAGUGAUGAGGAGGAUUCCAGAUAGGAGGGUGGCAUGAGUAAAGGUGCAAGUGUAGCUUCUCCUGGGAGGACUGUGCCUGGAUCUGAGGAGAGAUAUGUGUGUUUGAGAUGAUGGGAGAUGCAUUCAUAUGUGUUGGUGGGAUAAGCCCAAAUAGGUUAUGCCUUGCAAGUGAUGUUAAAGACUUUGGAUUAGCAUGUGAUUAGCAUGUAAUGCGGUAUCCAGGUUGAGAUUUUUUGGAACUUAGUUAAUACAGCCUGGACAAACAGAACAUUUAAAGCCACAAGUAGUUUUCAGUCAUUCAAAAUAUAGAAAUUUAAACUAGAAAGAUAAAGACUUCUGUUUUUAGGGAUAUCAUCUCAAGAAGUCUACAGUACGAAAAUGUAAAAUAAAUACUACUUUCUAAAAUGCAGCUACUAUUACCCCAAGAGGCUGGAGAUUAGCCUAGAAAGUACCAUUAUUAGACCAAUGUGUUAUCAUUCAAUUGCCUGGUAGGGAGUGGGGCACAGAGGAACAUGUAAAACCCCAAUAGACGGAGGGUGGUGUUUCUCUUGAAAGGAGUGAACAUCACCACUGUCAAUUGCCCUGGGAAGAAGUAGAUCCUAUGACAGGAAGUAAGGAUUGAGAAGGUAGACUACAGACUAGAGAGGAGGAGAAACUCAUCUCUUUCUGUGGGCCUCUGGUGAUGAGCCUGAUCAGGCUUUGAGUACUUUCAGUGGUGGGCAUGAGCGUGUACUUUGUAAGCAGGUCAACAUUUAGGCAGAAGGCAGUGGGUUGGCCUGCAGAUUCAGAGAAAUCACAUCUAAGUUCUCUAAGUUCUCUUCUUGUGCUUCCCCAACCCUUGAGUCCAUUUCAAUUCACUUUCAGCCUGGCCUAAGCAAGGUGGUAGGGAGAGAAGAACAUGCCUGGGACAUGUUUGGGUCCUGGUGGUGAAGGGCAGAGCAGAGCCCUUUCCUGAGGCCUGAAUGGUAAAAGCAUCAUACAUGUCACCAUGCGCCACAGGGCAGUGAUCCCUUGGGACCACAGGCAGUAGUGGCAAGGGCAUGAAGUAUCAUUAUUAAACAUAAGAGUCUGUCAUAGGGGAUUUUCUGAAAUAACUGAGGGAAACUCUACAAGAGCAGGUGGUAGCCAAAGUCAUAGUUUAGCAAUUUAAUGAAAAAAUUCUUAGUGUUUAAGCAGGUGAUGAUAAGUCAGUCCUCUAUCUCCACUCCCUGAAUUUGGAACCUUUAGAGAUUUAGAUACAGGAGACUAAAGAUGAAAACGUCAACUUUAUUACUACUAGCACUGGCUUGGAAAUUGUCAUAUACACACAGUAAACAACCAGACAGCAGACACACUCGCUCUGUUGGGGCAAUAUUCCUGGGGGAGACCACAAAGACAAGAAUAGCAGCAGGUGUGUGGAUCCCCAGUGCCCACUGCCUUCUAAAGAAGAACAAAGUGAUCGGUGGAAUCAGACAUCAACUUUCAGGAAAGGGACUCUGCCCUUUGGGCUGAGAAAUUUUAAAGCUGCAUUAAUAAAGAAAUGCCAAGCCCUCCUCUGGAGUAAGUAGAGGUCACAGUACAGUAUAAGGAUAAUAUAAGGUUCUGGCAUGGCAGCUCAGGGAUUGUGGCUGGAGGAACAUGAGCUCCUCCCAUUGCAUAACCAGAAAGCUAGGUCUAUGCCUGGCCAUUGCUGCUGUGUACUGUGGCAACUUCACAGUGUGAAGGAAAAAUAUCUUGGGCUCCCUAAAUCACUAAGCUAAAGGGAAAAGUCAAGCUGGAAACUGCUUAGGGCAAACCUGCCUCCCAUUCUAUUCAAAGUUAUCCCUCUGCUCACUGAGAUAAAUGCAUAUCUGAUUGCCUCCUUUGGAGAGGCUAAUCAGAAACUCAAAAGAAUGCAACCAUUUGUCUCAUAUCUACCUAUGACCUGGAAACUCGCUCCCUGUUUUGAGUUGUCCCACCUUUCCAGACCAAACCAAUGUUCAUCUUACAUAUGCUGAUUGAUGUCUCAUGUCUCUCUAAAAUGCAUAAAACCAAACUGUGCUCUGACAACUUUGGGCACAUGUCAGGACCUCCUGAGGCUGUCACAGGCACGUGUGCUCAACCUUGCUUGGUAAAAUAAACUUUCUAAAUUAACUGAGACCUGUCUCAAAUUUUCUGGGUUCACAUUAGCAUGACCUGUUCCCCCAGCAUUCAUGAUUGGGAAGCCACUGCCUUUCUCCUGGCCUGCUCAGGAGGCUAGGUCCAACCCUUGGGAUUCACUGGGAUUGGCUGCCUUCCACCCACAGCUAUAAUUCAUUUCCAAGGAGCUUUGCAUCCAGCUCCUUUUCUAGAAGGCUGAUGAGUGAGAAUCAGUCUUGGACACAUUAGGGCUUACCUUUCUGAGCCACCCCAAAUGAGCUUCCCACACCUUCUUCCCAAAUUGUCCUCACCUUCUCAGAUCUGCAGGCCUUCCAGUGCAGAGGGAAGAUCUGCCUAAGUAAGUUUACUGGUUAGAGGAGCAGAAAAUGUAUGUGUCCUGAAGCAAGAUGCUGUGAAAGAGAAAACCCAGAAAAGGCUAAACCUCAGUCCUUCUUCCAAAUCAUCAGCUUAGUCAUUCACCUACCCUUGGAGAGGGGAGCAAAGGAUAGAGAAGCUGUCAGAAAUAUUCUAGUUUUUCCUCCUGGGGAGGGAAGCACAAGUUUCUUGUCCUCUAUGGAAAUGUGCAGCAGCUUUGGAUCAAAAAUAAACUGGACAUGGAUGGAUGGUGGUGAUGGCUUCACAACAGUGUGAAUGUAGUAAACACCACCGAACUGUACACUAAAAACUGGUUAAAAUAGUACAUUUUAUGAUAUUUACUACAAUUACCCAAUCACUGUAAAAAAGGAACUGGAUCUAAUCAUGCUUUUGAUUUUAUUUUUGCUUUGUUUUGAAUAGUUAAUAUAUUCAUAUGAUUUUAAAUGUAAAAAACACAAAUGGCCCCUUCAUAAUCUUUUCCUAGCUAAUGCAGUUUCUUCUUCAGAGGCAAACAAUAAAAACAGCAUUUUCAUAUUCUUCCAGAGAUAUUUUACGCAUUCUCUAGCAAAUACAUGUUUUAAAAAUUUUUGACACAAAUGGUAUUGUAUGUUACACACUGUUCUGCAAUUUGCAUUUUAACUUAAUGAAAUUUCUUGGGGAAUGCUCCAUAUCAGUGUAUCAGAGUUCCAGCAUUCAUAGAGCUAUACGUUUUCCUAGAGCACAGAUUUCCGUAGUUGGCUUAACCAGUCCCCCUUAUGUGCAAAUAUAGAUGUUUUUACUCUUUUGUUGUUCCAAACAGUGAAUAUCCUCUUAUGUGUGUCAUUUCUCAUAUUUAUCUACUCAUAAGAUAAAUUCAUAGACAUGGAAUUGUCCAAUCUUGGUUUUAAUAGUUUUCAUUAUAGGCCAACUUGACUUUAAUGCUGUUGAGUAGACAUUUGGAAUGCAGUACUAACUGACCAAGACCUCUAAUCUAACAAGCUAUCCAGAAAACUGAUGAUGUCUUUCUUACUCACAGAUCAUUGUUCCAGUUUCAUAUGUGCACUAAGGUGGGAAAACUGUCAAACAGACCCCAAGAAAAUAAUGUCCAUUUUCAAAAAGCAACUCUUUCUGGCAGAGGUCUGAUUAGCCCAUAACACAUAACUAUCUGAUUAUAAAUGAGCUUUCUUAAAAUAAUUUUUAAUAUUUUUUCCCACUGUAAUUUUUCCAUGUUUCUAUGUAUGCUAUACAUUUUUGUUUUGUAACAAUUAAAGGGCCCUGACAGGUUAGCCAGAGAAAGUAAUAUUUAUUAUCUGUAUAUUAAGAUGAGAAAACAAGGAACAUAGGCCAAGGGAAGUUUCCACUUGUCCAAAGUCACCCAGCAAGUUAGUGGGAGAGCCUGAACUAAAAUGCAGGUCACAACCUAAUCCCAUGCUCUGUUCACUGAUCCAUAUUUGUCCUUUUUGCCAGUUCUCAAAAGUAAGUGAGCUGUUCCUAAACCUAUUGGGUCUAGAAGUGGUCUCAGUUUAUGGGCAGCUGACGAUGUCUCACUAUGAAGAACUUGUCCUGAUGGUGUGCAGCUGCUGAAGAUGUAUAGCAGGGAUCUUCCAUGGGAGGUCCAAGAAGGCUGAUAUCUUCCAGGCUUGCCUAUAGGUAUAUGUGGCUCACAUGCCAAGAUGGGAACAAACUGUGCUCCUUCUACUUAUAAAGGAAUAAAAUUAACUGUAAAGCAUCCUUGGGCAGGUCCUUCAGGAGGUAUUCCGGAAGAGGGCAUUGUUAUCAUAGGAGAUGACAGCUCCAUCCUGUUACUGCCCCAAAGACCUUCCAGUGGGACAAGAUGUGGAGGUAGAAGACAGUGAUAUUAAUGAUCCUGACUCUGCGUAGGCCUAGGCUAAUGUGUGUGUGUCUUAGUUUUUAAAAAAGUUUAAAAAGUAAAAGACAAUUUAAAAAUUUUUAUUAGAAUAAAGCUUACAAAAUAAAGAUAUAAAGAAAGAAAAUAUUUUUGUUCAGCCAUAGAGUGUUUGUGUUUUAAGCUUAGUGUUAUUACAAAAGGUUCAAAACUUUCAAAAAAUUUAAAAGUUUAUAAAGUAAAAAGUUAUAGUUGGCUGAGUGCGGUGGCUCACACCUGUAAUCCCAGCACUUUGGGAGGCUGAGGCAGGUGGAUCGUGAGGUCAGGAGUUCGAGACCAGUCUGGCCAACACGGUGAAACCCCAUCUCUACUAAAAAUACAAAAAUUAGCCAGGUGUGGUGGUGGGUGUCUGUAAUCCCCACUACUCAGGAGGCUGAGGCAGGAGAAUUGCUUGAACCCGGGAGGCAGAGGUUGCAGUGAGCUGAGAUGGUGCCACUGCACUCCAGCCUGGGCGACAGACCAAGACUCUGUCUCAAAAAAAAAAAAAAGUUAUAGUUUAAUUUUUAAGGUUAAUUUAUUAUUGAAGAAAAAUUUUUAAUGAGUUUAGUGUAGCCUAGGUGUACACUAGGUGUUUAUAGAGUCUACGAUAGUGUACAGUCAUGUCCUAGGCCUUCACAUUCACUCAUCACUCACUAACUCACACAGAGCAACUUCUGGUCCUGCAAACUCCAUUCGUGUUGAGUGUCCUAUGUAGGUGUAUUACUUUAUAUCUUUUGUACUAUAUUUUUACUGUAUUUUUUCUUUGUUUAGAAAUGUUUGGAUACACAAACACUAGUGUGUUACAAUUGCCUACAGUAUUCAUUCAGUACAGUAACAUGCUGUUGCAACCUAGAAGCAAUAAGCUACACCAUAUAGCCUAGGUGUGCAGUAGGCUACACCAUCUAGCUUUGUGUAAGUACAUUCUUUGAAGCUUGCACGAUGACAAAAUUGCCUAAUGACACAUUUCUCAGAACAUAACUCCAUCAUUAAGCUACAUAACUUAAACCCCUGCUAUGCAAUGAAACUCAGGUAGCAUAUUAAAAAAUAGAUAACUCAAGCAUUGCAUACAGAGAAGCCAUUCUUGGAACACCAGACAAUAAGCAUUGCAUUAGAUCAGAGCAGUUCUGGGCACAUCUAUGGUCAACAAGAAAUAUUCUCAAAGUCUGAACUUUGAGCUAUAGUAGACAGACAAACUAAGAAUUCCUCAAAGUUAGUAUUUCCAACCGUGAUGUAAGAGUCUAUUCUGAGUGUUGUGACAAACUAUCUCCAGAUCUCGCUAGAGUAACACAAUAAAGGUUUGUUUCUCACCCAUCACAGUCGGGUAUGGCUGUAUGAGGGAGGCGUGAGGAAGGAUCUGCUCCUCGCCCAUCACAGUCGGGUAUGGCUGUAUGAGGGAGGCGUGAGGAAGGCUCUGCUCCAUGCAUUCAUGGAAGUGGCCUUGAUCACCAGCCUAGCACUUCACUGGCAGGGCUCAGUCAAUGACAUCUAGUGGCUGGGAAGCUCGGAAAUGAGCUUUCCUUUGUGCUCAGAAGUAGGACUUGGGCGAACACAUAGCAGUAUCUCUGCUCCAUCCACAUAAACGGGCUCAGAACUUAAAUGGAAAGAGACGCUGAAGAGGGCAUCAAAUAUAUGAGAACUGGAACAGGGAAAGGAACAAAGAUCUGAACAGGAUCAGAUAGAGAUAUUUGCCUACAGACAAGUCCUUGGUUAAAAGACCGUGGAAAUUGAUUCUAGAACUAUAUAUUAUUUAUGGCUUGUGGGACGCAGAAAUGUGUUCUGGUUACCUGUGCAAUAAACUGUACAUACUUCUCAUUUCAGAGUUGGAGUCAAUCACUCUCUGUUGGCCUUUUUUGCUGUCUUUACAAAGUCAUGGGUUAACGAACCCUACUGGGUACUUCUAACAUGAGGUGUCUGGGCUGGGAGAGUCUUACUGGCAAUUGAUGUCAAGAUUCUUCGUCCAGAGGCACAGAGCAGAAAGGUUCUUGGUCCACAGACACCUUAAAACAAGGCCACCCUGGCCAGGUUUAUUCCCGUCUGGCGGCCUACACAUUUCUUAUAUCCUGGAAAAACUGGUGAGCAAGCAAGUGUCGACCUCAGAGUCUCUGACAGGGCUAUUUUGAAACCACACACCAUGAAAACUCUCAGGGAAGUUAAAAAACAAACAAUCAUAACCAAGGCAGUUUAGCUGUUUUGAAAAGAGAUGGAGCUUCAUUACUUCAAACCCAAAUUUCUGCAAGCCUGACAACCACCUUACAUCAAAAUAAACGUCUACCUGCUAGCUGAAAUGUUUAAAAACACAGUUACCAUGUGAGGUAAGCAGAGCUGACCUUGACUGGCAUCUCUAUCAGCAGCUCAGUGGGAUUAAAUGGCUUGCCAAUGUCACAAGAAUGUGAGCUCCUUUCUUCAUCUUUCUGCUCCAAUGUAGCAACUACCAAGGGGCCACCUGACAGAACAUGGCCGCUGCAGAGGAACCCUGCUACCUGCAGUUGGUGACAUGGCCUAGGUCCCAGAGGCCUCGUGGUGCCACACACACAAGAACAGGCACCAACAACCAGUGACAUUUUGACAGUCAAAUGGAACCUGUGACUGCCAUCUGUAGAUGUGCCAGCCAAGAAUGUGACCCUGGGGAAAGCCCUUCACACAGGUCUUUCCUUGGUGUAUUUAUAUUUAGUUCCAGCGAAAAACUGCAGUUGUUUUUCUCAGUGACAGGCAUCAAACGAUAACCGAAAAGAAUGAGAAAUAAUUGUUCCCUUUCUCCCUGUUAGGAGAUUGUACUCUUUGAAUUUGGGACCACAGCUCUCUGAACAGCUAGCUCUCCCAUGCCUGGCUCAUGAGACAUCAUAAAUGUUGAUUGUAUUAAAGACAAUUUAGAGGGAAAGGACUUGAAUUCUGGUUCUAAGCUAUUAAAAAUAUUUCUACAUUUUAAUUUUUAAAUUAAGAAAGAUUUUGUACAUAUGGAAAGGUGCAGAAUAUAAAACAGACAACCAUAUGCUUACCAUCCAGAUUAAACAACUGUUAACGUUUUCUCGUAUUUACUUCAGAUCACUUGAAACAAAAGAAAGACAAAAAGAUACGGCUAAAGCCUUGGCCCCCUUCACUCACAUCCCUCCCCUCCUCCCCUCUGCAGAGCAACUUCUGCCUGAAGCUGGUGUGUGUCAUUUCCAUGCAUGAUCUUGUGCUUUCAGUACAUAUUUGUAUAUCCAAAACAAUAUUUACUAUUGUUUUGUGUGCAUUCUUAAUUUACAUAAAUGGCAUCAUAUUGUAAAUUCUCUUGCAACUUGGCUUUUCUUACUCAACAGUACAUUUUAGGGACUUAUUUAUGUUGUGUGGAUACAGUGUAGACCUAGUUCAUUCAUUUUAACUUAAUUGUGAAAUACCAUAGUUUACUUAUCCAUUUCCCUAUUGGGUAAAAUUAGUUAUUGCUUUAUUGUCGUUGUUGUUUAUUGCAAUGAACAUGCCUGUGCAUGCAUCUUUGUGCACGUGUUUGUUAGUGUAAAUGCCCUGAAGUGAAAUUGCUAAUUAGUAGGAAAUAUACUUCUGCACCUUCCUUAGCAGAGACAAAUUGUUCUCCCAAGUGGUUGUACCUAUUUGAACUCAUGCUAGAUUAGAAAUCCCUGUGUUCCUACAUCCUUACCAUCAUUUGUGAGGCUUUCAAUUUUUCUUAUCCAAUAAGUACAAAUGACAUUUUAUUUUUUUAAUUCACAUCUCUCUAAUUAUUCAUGAGCUUAAGCAUUUUUACAUGUUUACUAACCAGUUGUGUAUGUGCAUGUGUGUGCAUGUGAGAGAGAGAGAGAAAUAGGUUUUAAUCCUUUGUUCUUUUCUUAUAAAUUUAUAGUUGUAUUUAUUCUGAAGUUCUUAUCUGAGUUGAAAAGUGUUCUCACAAAUGGUAUCUUGCCUUUUAAUUUUGUUUAUGUCAUGUUCUAUUAUAAAUAGCUUUUUAAUUUUCAUGUAGUUAAAUUUAUAUGUCUUUUCAAGGUUUGUGGGCAUUUGUCCCUUAGUUAAUAAAUCUGUUUCUAACUCUACAUUCAAGAUAUUCUCCCACAUUGUUUUCUAAAAAUUCUAAAUUUUUUUUCCCUUCACAUUUAAAUUUUUGUCCAUCUGGAAUUUACUUUUGCUUAUGUGAUGAGUAGGGAUCUAAUUUUAUCUUUUUCCAAGCAGAAAGUUAAUUGUCAAGGAUGAUCCAGACUUUCCCGCUGUUUGAAAUGUCAUUUCU